ACCUUGGCGGGUCAGCCACCUCGUCCCUGUUCAUCAGGAACAAGAGAGAAGCCACGCCUCCAGCUCUGGGCUCAGGGCUGUCCCCACCCUCCACGUCCCCGUAGGGCACGAGAUGGACACACACACCAACACACACGCAUGCACAUGCACAUGCAUGCGCACACACACAGGCACACACGUGCACAGACACAUACACAUGUGUGCACAGAGAGAGACACACAUCCACACCUGCCUGGAGGCAGAUUUUAAGGGGAAAGAUGUCAAAAAUCUCAGUCAUCAAAACAAGCAAUACUUUAACAGAAUAUUUUAAACAUCAAAAUUAAUGCAAAAGACCAAAACAAAUUUUUUUAAGGUUUAUUCAUUUUUCAGAGACAGUCAGAGCAUGAGCAGGGGAGGGGCAGAGAGAGAGGGAGACACAGAAUCCGAAGCAGCUCCAGGCUCCGGGCUGUCAGCACAGAGCCCGACGCGGGGCUCGAACCCAUGGACCGCGAGAUCAUGACCUGAGCCGAAGUCGGACGCCCAACCGACUGGGCCCCCCAGGCGCCCCAGGCAUUCUUCUCUCUAAAAGAAAAGUUGUUUUCUCCAAGUCUGAGGCAGCACCUUACCUGCUGCGGCCGCUCCCCUGCGCCCCUGUGGCCUUGUCCUCUCCCUUGCCGUGGCCGGGCACUCAGGGAACAGCGAGGUCAGAGGACCGCGGCGUGGGCUAAGCUCCGGCCCAGCUGAGGAAGUUCGCUGCCACCGCACGGCAAGACAAAGCUGGACAAACUGUAAAACACCAGCUUUCCGAACCCACCAAAGACCCCGGAGUCCGAGGCAGGCCCUGAGGCAGCCCCCGCCCCCAGCACCUCCGGAAGACGGGUUCCAACGGGGAAGACGGGCCGCGCUGCGGGGGUCCCGGGUCAGAGGAGGCGCACUUCGGGGUGCGGCCCCGGCGGUCGUGCAGAUCUGUGUGUGCGUCAGCUUUCACGGAACACGGACUCCUCAUAGGAUGGACACGCACACACUGGAGGCAUCCUCAGUGCUUCGGAUAGAAGGGUCGUGGGGCGAGGGAUAGACGGAUGUGCAGGAAGAACAAACUCUCCCUGGUUCUGGGGCGCCGGGGGCCAAGUUGGCGGGAGAAGCGAGCUGGCCGCACAGCCUGAAAGUAUCUCCCCAAACCCGUACCCGUCACCCUUGGUUUUAACACGUGCCACACACU
rnacentral:lncRNA from 1 species